GUAAAUCUGCCAAAGAUGUCACUUCAUCAGGAACUGAGCAAUUUCCACUCCUUUUGUACAGCUGUGGGUAAGGCUGAGGUGACAACUGUGAACUGUUCCCUACUGCAAGCCUGUGCUUCUAAUUAUGGUGCAGGAGCCUUCAUUAUGGAAAGAGGUCAUCAAAGAAACAAUGGAACGUUGGAAUCCACUAUGCUCACGUGGGAACACGUGCACUCUGUGACUCAUUUGCUUCAUUCAAUAACAUGCUCAUACAGCGACCUGAACUUUGUGUAACUGCGUGGAUAUACCUCAGGAUUGGCAGUGGAGGUGGCGACAGUAUCCAAGUACAGAAGAAGGAAUGUGUAGGUAGGAGCUAUCCGGAAGAUGUCACACGGGAGGCAAGCGCACCUGAAGGGUGAGGAAAAUCCUUCAGGGAAGAGGGAGGAGAGCGGAAAUCGAAGGCUUCUCAGGCUCUCGGUGUUUCAGGGAGUUGAUUUUAAACCUUUCAACAGGUUGUGGAUGGAGUGAAGAGUUUUAACCAUGCUUCUGUAAAACCGUUAUUCACUUGAUGCACGUAGGAUUGUUAUUGUUGCUUCUGAAUUGAAGCUACAGCCUUGGAGAAGCCUUCCAUCAGGCACACUGGAGAUUCUCUAACUCACCACCAGAUGGACCUAUUUGAUAUGUUGUUUUCCAAGAAAAAGCAACCAAUUUCAUAAUGAAGUCUUUCUGACAGGGAUUUAGAUUACUUAUUUUUAAAAUAAUAUUUAACCUUGAAUUUUUGAUAUAGUCAAAAAGUCACUUAUACAUGGUAAUGAAUAAAUGUACCUAUGUACUAUGUGUCACUAUGUACAUAGUGUCAGUGAAAACAAAUACCCGCAUAGGCAAAGUGUUUGUUGCCGGUUAUUUCUUUUUUAGAUUGGGGUUUCAUCUAUCUUGGGAUGACCUCAAACUCAUGUGGCCAAGGAUGACCUUGGACUUCUGAUCUUAGAGCUUCUGCUAAGUCAACAUGCCCUGUUUACUCUGGGCUGGAGAUCAGAUUCAGAGGUUUAUGUGUGCUUAGCAAGCAAGCAUUCUACAACUAAGCCACAACCCCAUCUCUGAAGCGGGGUGAUUUGGGUGUUUGGUGUUGGUUUGGGUUGGUGUUUGUCUUUUUUACUGUUUUGGGGGUCAAAGCCAAGGUUUCCCGAAUGCCUGGCAAAUGUUCUCCUACUGAGCUGCCUGCCCAGCUGAAAAUCUUUACAACUAUCUCCAAGCUUAAGGAACAGAAUAUAGCCAAAUAAAUCCUUGAAACCAAUGUGACACUCUCCCAUCUUACUUUCCUUUGUACAUGGAUCAACAACCAUGAUGAAUUAUAAAUUAACAGCUAUUCUGAAAAAUCA